UACGACAAUCGCUCCUUCCCCACGCUUCCUGAAAGCGCCCCAUCUCUCUCUCUCUCCACGCCUCCCCCCCGGUGCGCGUGUUCGCAUUCGAUGCUUCCACGAUGUAAAACGAGUUUCCUUCUAAACCCUAGAUAAAGGCUCUUCUCGCAGAUCCGCAUAGGCAACCCUGGAAGAAGGGCUUCUCGCAGGCAUCUCUUUGCCUGAUUAUAUUUGUCUCUCUUGCUGAUCUCUCUGAGUUUGGAAUCUAUUUUUCCUCCUUUUCUUUAUAAUGCGUAUGGUUGGUAUUUUCUUCGAUUUAGGGUUCAAUAUCAUCCAAACUAAGUAAACUAAUUUGAUCGGUGCUAUAAGUAAAUUUAGGGCUUGAUUUUUAUCUUCUUUUCUUGAAUUUUUAGAAAAAAAAUCCAGGAUUUAAUGUCAUAAAAAGCUUAAUUUUUAGCAUUAUUUCGGUGAAUAGCAACAACAUUUUCGGUAGUUCAAGUGUAAAAGUUACGACCUUCCUUCUGGGCUUUGUCAAUCCAAUUGUUUUCUUUUUUGAGGUAGUUCUAGAAACAAGAUUUCCAUCUCGAAAAAUUGAUUGUUAUUUGAUUUUGAGAGCUUCUGCAGGGCCCUAGGCCCCAAAAAAAAAGCAUUUUUCCUUAUACAUUUCUGCUCUUAAAAAUUAUAUAUCUCCGCCAUAUGCUUCUUCCCUGACAUCAUAUGUACUAUAAUUAUAUUGAAGGCAAGUGAAUAAGGAUACCCUGGUAUCGUAUGAGUUGAUUUAGAAUGCUCUGAAGGCCUGUUUGGAACAUUUUAGAGAUGUUAUUAUUGGAGGGCUAAUAUAGAAAUCUUGAUUGAGAUUUUGGGAAGAGAAACCACCAAUUGGAAGAGUAAGCUGGUGAACUUGACCUCCUUAGGUGAAGGAUGCGUCAAACUCCUUGCUUAUCUUUUAGUAGGCAACGUUUCCAUCUCAAGAUUCCAAAAAUGAGUUUUAAUAUAUGGAGGAGUGUUCCAAAUGGAGUGGUAAAGGCUAGUGGGACGAUGCUUGACUGCAACUUGUCAACUGAGUAGAGUGCGGAGGCUUGAAAAGGAUGUGCCGGGGGACAAUGAGUUUAAAUUUUCAUAACAGGGCUUCAUUGGGGGAAUGACUUUGAGAGAUUGGGGAACGAAGAGGGGGAUUCUUAAUAUAAGUGUGGGGUAAGUAUUCUAGUCGAUAGAGAUAUUGAUUGGAUUUGCAGGAUGUGUUCUAAUGCCAAUUCUGUUUUCAGAGACAUGACUUGUGCAAAAAGAGCUUUUCCUGGACUGAUUCUACAGUACGGUCACAAAUUUGUUCCCAUACCCCUGCCUGCCUCUAGCCUUAGCUCUUUUUUUUUUGGGGGGGGGGGGGGGGAGCUAGUAGGAAACUGGGACUCAAUUGGGUUGAAAGCGGGAUUUGAACUUGAGUCACUGGUGUCCAACUCCUGGUGAAUUUACCAACUCAACCAUUUUGCACGUUCCCUCUGGCAAGUACAUCUUCUUGAUCUAAUUUGGAAUAAGAAACCUAAGCAUUUGCCUCACCAAUAGGCUUAUCAUCUGGUUGGAUUUACCUUGGGGGCAAGAGCAUAACUGGCAUAUACUUUACCCCGCUUAGUUUCUUUGUAAAUUUAGGAUGUGAAACUUCUUCCAAGUAACACCAUCGACUCACAGCAUUGGAUAGCAUGAAUAAUUCUUUGCAAUUGAUCUCUUUAUUUUUGGUUCAUUAGCUCAUUGCAUAAGAUACAUAGUGGUUAGUGUGGCUCAUAAUUAGUGCCAUAUAGCACUUGACAUACACUGAUGGUAGGUCUCAUGUUUAUUUGUUCUAAUUAGCCAUGAAUAUAUAAUAUUGCUAAGGAAGAAUAUCGACAUAAACCAUGAGGUCUGGGGUGUACUGCCGCUCGGUUGAAGUGCAUAUGUUAGAAUCUGUCAUAUGUGUGACAUGUGAGAUAUAACGCAGCCCAACAAUCAGUGCUUGAGGGCUUAUUUGAAGACUUAUAUAACCGACUGAAACAAGUAUCACACCGAAUUGAUAAAGAAGAUAUGUGUAUAUGUGCAUGCAUGUGUUGGUUGUUUUGCUGCCGCUGCGGGCAGGGGGUGGUGGUGGUGGCAGCGGAUAGGCAAAGGUGUCCUACAUACUAAUGUUUUUGUAACAUCUGAAUAUUCUAAUAAAUGGAUGGAAUUAGAUCAGAAUGACUUGAUGUUGCAAUAACCUAUUAGUGUGAUAUGGUUUUUUAAUCUAAUAUUAGUCUCUUAUAUUGCAUGUUGGAGAAUGGCAUAUAUAGCAUGAUAUCCCUGACUCUCAAUAUACAAUUCUAUAUUACUUUCUUAGAAAAGAAUGUUUAUUGGACUUAAUCUCUCUCUUUUCUUGUGCCCUAUCCAGUUCCUUGUGCUACUAUGAACUAUGGACGCAAAUUUUUGUUUUUUGUUCCUUCAUUCUCUUUCAUUCCCUCACAUGCAGAAAGCUUCUAAGAUUUCACUUAGGGCUGAAUAGUUGCUAAUUGUAUGUAAAUUUGUGUCAUUUAAAUACCCAGAGUAGCUACAGCUGUUUUUUGGUGAAAGCAUCCGUUAGCCUUAAUACUAAGUCUUUUUGUUGUAUGCUAUUUUAUUAACUCUUUUUGCCUGAAUAAUUUAAUUUAGUGAUGGAGCACUAUCUAGGACCAUGACAGGAGAACCAAUGCUGUGGGUACCAGUGUCUUCUGCAAGCUGAUAGUUACAUCAAUUUUCUUGGGUUUGAAACAGGUCAAAGUACCCCCCCUUCAACUAUUGAGGAAGCUAACAACUGAAAGGAACUUCUAUUAUGACAAAUCUAAAUGCAAUUCAUAAGAUCCAUUUAAAUUAUCAUGAACAAAAUUAAAUAUAUUAAAUUUUCACAGCUUAUAAAAGAUAAUCUGCGGUUAUCACCAAGUCACCUAACUUUCACAGUUAUUUAACAAAGCUUGGAUUUUUCUCGGUAUGUUGAGUGGCUAAAAAAUGUUUCUGGAGAGUUCUGAAUUCAUGCAGCAUGCAUCUAAGGAAAAUCAGAGGUGGAAUCUCAAGGCUUGAAAGAUGGUCACUGGACAUAGACUUGCAUCAAAACAACAAUGAAGAAAUGACACAUGAUAUCAGGAUUAAUGCAUAGAGCAACUGAUAAAUGGCCAAAAAAAAAAGAUUUGUAGGUUCUAUCAAGAGAAGCUGAGCUUUGUGAGUUGAACAAUACCUCCAAUAGUUGUUAAACCAGGACAAGGAAAACCACACUUAAUAAAGAUAGUGGAAACAAUAAAAACUUUGCAAAUGUUGCAGAAGUAUAGAUAUACCAAUAUCUGAUGGUAACAUAGAAGAAUUAUUGGAAAGCUAUGGGAGUGUUUUGGUCUGUAUAAAACUAGAUUACCAAAUGAUUUUAUGAAAUCACGAAAUUUUAGAAUAUCAGAAAAAUAUCUGAUAUCAAUUUAUUGAUGGCAUGGAUAUUAAGUGAUCAGCUCUUCUCCCUUUUAUGCUAAAGAAGGCCAAGCAUCAAGACUAUACUACAGGUUUGGUGUCACUUGGAAAUGAACUUGGAGAGAAAAAAACAAUAAAUUAUCCUUAUUGGUAACUUGUUGGUGUCAAGGGGAGAGUGGGUCCAAUGAUUCUAUGAACAUAAAAGACAUACAUAUAGGAGCACUAAUUACAAAGAAACAGCUCAGGUGAGUGCAAGAGUCCCAUGCAUAGGGCCACAUUUAUUGACUUCUGAUAAUCAUAUAGAAGACUGAGGGAAUCUGUGCUGAUAAUCUAAGAAUCAUGUAAUGUUGUAAAAGGAAAAUUUUUUGAGCAUUACGCCAACUGAUAAAAGUAUAAAAUGCAAGUUUAGUGGAAAUGAGGCUCUAGUCACAGUUUGGUGCCAUGAGAGACUAUGGAGUAAUUGAUGCUGUUUGCCUAGAUUUACUAUUUAAGUUAGCAAAAAAAAGUCAGGGCACACAUUCUCAUUAAAAUUAAGUGAUGGAUUAAACUGAUGUGUUACCAGAGGAUUGUUUAUCGUUUUAUCUAGUGAGAGCAUGAGACUUGUGGAAGGACUGAUACUGUUGUAAUUGUUAGGAUGCAUGGAACUAUAAUGAACUAGUGGCCAAUCUGUCCCAUCUUGUUAUUUGUGGUUGACUCUAUCAUUCCUUUGCGUGAUAAACUAUUAGGCAAAGUUUCUUCUUUACCUCUCUCACAUGCAAUGCAUCUGGAUAUUUUUGGGCUUCCUUUGGUCUUCUUGCUUACUCCAUGACCCUUGCCAUAACAAAGCCAUCUCCAAUUUCGUGCAUGACCAUCAAAGGACGAUCAAUGUUAAAGAAUUCAGAACUAUAAGAAAUUAUUUUAUGCCAAUCUGCCCCCACCUGUUAUUUUUGAUUGAAUUUAUCAUUUCUUUUAUGGGAUACACCAUUAUUCAUAUUUUCUUUUAGCUUUUCCUACAGCAAUGUUCUAGGUAUUCUUGGGUUUUCUUUGGCCAUUUUCCUCAAUUUGCAACUCUUGUCAUAGCAAUGCCAUUUGCAGUUUUCUGCAUGACCGUUAGAGGAAGGUCAAUGUGUAAUCUGAUCGGAGAGAAAGAAGAGUUUCCUCAAUCUGCUCAACUCAAAUCUCUCAAAAAAAAUUAAAAGGCAAAAAAAAUGACGAAAGUUGGGUGUUCGUCCUCUUUCUUUCAUUGAUGAAGAUAAAAUUGUGGUACAUGGCCUCUAUUUAUAAUGAUGAGUUCUAUCCUUGCACAAUUUCAGUUGGAUUUUUCUCGUAGUUUUAAUAGAACCCACUUUCCUAAAUUAGACAUGAUUAGUAGAAAUAAACUCGAAAAAGCUAAAAUUUUACUGGAGGUGGAUCUCAACCUUCUACAUUAACUGCUUUCUGUCGCUUUACUUGAUUCUUCUGGACUUGGAAGAUACUUUCGGUCAAAGCCUUUCCUGAAAAAAAAUUCAAUCUGAUUUGCCUGUUUUGGAGCAAAUUAUAUCUUACACUGUGUGCACCAAUGUGGCCGUGCACCACGCUAAUCACCGCAUCUCUUUCUUGUGGGCCAAUCAUUAAGACGAGCGUAUGAUGAAUGGGGUCUAUAGGAAGGAGACGCGGUGAUUGGCGUAGUGCACAGCCACGUGGUGCUUGCGGUGUAGGAUAUAAGUUCUCCUAAUUCAGGGCCCAAUGGAAUUUGGGCCUGAUCACUAAGUGCACGGUCCCCUUUAAGGGGCAGCGCCACAUCGUAGAUCUCGAAAUAUUACCAAAUUUUUAAAAAAAGAUCAUCUCAAUCUGGCAUCGUACGACCAAGUUAUAACCUCCAAAAAUUUGGCAUACGAUUUGGCUUUCUAAUAUGGUGGAUCUCGCUCCUAGACCCUGUCUAGCCUUACCCAUAGUGGCCGAAGUGGUCCACAUCGAGUUCAGUGAUCCUUUUGGAUCAAUGUGAAGGAUUUUGAAAGUCUUGCUUUGACAUAUGAUCUGGUUGUGGAUGUGAAGCAUCACAAAGAAUUUAUAACAUUAACCUGUAUAUAAAUUUGAAAGUUCAAAUCAAUACUUGUGGAGCAUCAAACAUUCUGUUGGCUUGGCUAGGAGCAACUAUUGCAAUUGAUGGCCUUGCUGCAACCUUAAAUGAAACUGGUGACUGUUAUUGCAAAACCUGUGGUAUCUUAAGCCAGAGAAGCUGAAAUGGACAGGUUUGGGAGCCACAAGCUAACCAGGUGACAGAUCAUGAUCUGGGUCAGUGUCAUACUGGUUAUUCUAGAUUGCCGAGAAGUUCCAUAUGAGCUUCUUGGCUGUCAUUAAAACCAUCUAGUUAACAAUAUUAAUAACAACUUAUUGUUGCUAGCAUGGCAGCUCUCAUAGUCAUCAUUUAACUGUUGCAAACAGUAUUCUGGAGAUUGUUUUUUGCCAGUUAAGGACUUGAGAGUGGAUGGGAACACAUAAUUUAUGUGGAGUCACUGUGGGACUACAGAAGCUUGGAAACAUCUGUACCAAUCUAGAGGGCAGCUGAGCAUCAAGGAACUUCCCUUGAGGUAUUGUCUUGCAUUAUUAACUGAGCUGCAGAAAAUUUCCUGGCCACCCUGGAAGAUGAUUGGUCAAUCAAAUAGAUCAUAACUGCUCAACUCAUGAGCUGGACGGGAACAUACUGUCCCCCCCCCCCCUUUUUUUUGGGUAUGAAUGUAACAUACUGUUUUUUCCCCUUUUUUUUGGGUACGACUAUAGGUUUUAGGUUGAUUAUUACAAUAUUAGAAUGUUACAGCCAACCCAUUUUAGUGGAGGGGCGCGCUAUUUGUUUACACCCAUUAGUUUGUAAGGGUGAAUGGUUGAAUGGUUCAGAAAAAAAGAUCUGCUGAAUGGUUGCCUGUUGCCUAAUGAAAGUAGUUCCAUCUACAGCUUACCGAUGAAGACAUUGGCCAGCUGGUGGGGCAAGACGGACCAUUCACACGCACAAAGUUGUUCAAAAUGGAGCCAGCCUACCAAUUGUUCUAGCCUUUGGAGCCUUUGGGUAGAGGAAUUUAGCUGCUUAAGAAGUUUUGACAUCUGGCUGCUAAUGGACAUCAGAAAGUAAAGGGAGUGAAAAUGUGUAAUUUCACAGAUGUGGCUGUCUCGGACUGGUGUCUAACAUGGAGGGGUUGAUGAGUCGGGCCUCACCUGCAUGCAACCAAUCACCAGCUUCCAUGUCUUCCUGUAAACUGAGCAGCGGUCGGCAACAGAACUUUACUUUGUUAAACAGAAGUUUGAGGUGACAACAGAUAACAAAAGUGUUUCCAAAACAGAAAAAUGCGGAGUUCAAACAAGACCAGAAUAGAAUGAAGAGCGGUGGUUAGGGUGAUUGAAUUGACCUGCCACUUUUGAUGCGAUGGUGAUCCAUGAACCUACAACAAAGUGGCGGGGAACAUGAGGGAGUACAGUGGAGCCGUUUUGAGGACUUCUCAGAAUGGUGGGGAAAAAGGUAGCGUUGGUAGUUGGACUGUUGUUAUUGAAGAACAUGGAUUCAGAGAAGGCUUGAGUACGUACCAGUGCAUGUAACCAGGUGGUUUGAUUUGAAUAUAAUGAAAGGAGAAGGCUAGGGGAAUGAGGGAAUUGAAAUGGGGGACACUCUAAGUCUAGGUGGAUUCGUUAAGCUUUAUAUACAUUGUUGAUUUUUUUUCCUAUCAGCUUGAGCUUUUAAUAUUUAGCAGUAAGUUAAUAUGGUAUUGGAGCUCAGGUUACCAAUACACAAAUGGUGGUAGAUUCAAGUCGAUGGUGAAAGAAAGGUUCAGAUAGCUCCAAUAUCUAGGUCGUGGUAGAUCAUAAUUGUGAGAGAUAUUUCUCUCUCUGAUCACCUGGGGAUUUAUUCCUGGCUAUCCACUUGAUCUGUGUUCGCUUGAAUUCUGCAUCAUAUGGCAAUUGGGAAGAACAGAGCGGCCUUAUUUUGAUAACAGUCACCAGCUCUAUGGAUGUCUUGAGCACACAAAUUCAGCUGUUUCAGCCAUGCACCAACAACAUCGAUGGCAAAAUGGCUGAAGUAGUUUCUUUACUUGAAUCUCUCCUCUAGCUUUACUUGUUUCUAGUAUCUGGUACAUUUAACUUACCCUCUCUUUGCAUUUCUUUCUUUUCUAAUAUCUUGUACUUCCUUGAUUUCAUCAUCUUAAUGAAAUUUAUGUGGAUCACACACCCUCCCGUUUCUCAAGCAUCAACGGGAGGGUUAUAUGUCU